rnacentral:rRNA from 1 species
UGCGUAGGGUGCGAGCGUUAAUCGGAAUUACUGGGCGUAAAGCGUGCGCAGGCGGUUCGUUAAGUCAGCUGUGAAAGCCCCGGGCUCAACCUGGGAAUUGCGGUUGAAACUGGCGGACUAGAAUCUGGCAGAGGGGGGUGGAAUUCCACGUGUAGCAGUGAAAUGCGUAGAGAUGUGGAGGAACACCGAUGGCGAAGGCAGCCCCCUGGGCUGAGAUUGACGCUCAGGCACGAAAGCGUGGGGAGCAAACAGG